UCGCGGCUUAUCACCGGCAGUCCCCCUAGAGUGCCCAACUGAAUGAUGGCAACUAAGGGCGAGGGUUGCGCUCGUUGCGGGACUUAACCCAACAUCUCACGACACGAGCUGACGACAGCCAUGCAGCACCUGUGCGCAGGUCCCCGAAGGGAAGGAGCCCGUCUCCGGACCCCGUCCUGCCAUGUCAAGGGCUGGUAAGGUUCUGCGCGUUGCUUCGAAUUGAACCACAUGCUCCACCGCUUGUGCGGGCCCCCGUCAAUUCCUUUGAGUUUCAGCCUUGCGGCCGUACUCCCCAGGCGGGGCACUUAGAGCGUUAGCUGCGCCACUGACGGGUAAACCCGCCAACGGCUAGCAUCCAUCGUUUACGGCGUGGACUAC
rnacentral:misc_RNA from 1 species